CUUAUACAAGAAUUUUCUUCCACCUCUGGAACUCCUGAGACAGCAAGACCAACUCCUUGUCUUCUUCCUUCUCCAUAGUCUACUCAAAAUGAAGACAACAAAGAUGAAGACCUUUAUGAAGAAUUUAUGGUGGUCUACUUUCACUUAAUGAAUAGUUGUUAGUGAUAAUCCAUCCUUCUCAAUUUUAUCCAAAGAAGUUGCUCAUCUGCCUUGUGCCAUGACACAGCUCUGGGGAAGAUGAGUUGUGACCUUGACUGCUUACUAAAAUGUUCAGGAACCAGGCGACUACUUUUCUUUUGCAGGGCAGAGUUGCAUGCAUCUACAGCAGCUACAUUUUGGUGACAUUAACAAGACAGACUGUACUCCUCCUGUAUGAGACUUAGUAUAGAUGAGUAAUUUUUUAUAGUGGGAAAAUUUAUAGGCUUUGUUUUACUGUAUUUUGUUUAUUUUUAAUUAUGUUUUUAAAAUUGUAAAAUAAUACAUAUAAAUGCAAAAAAAGAAAAAGAAAAUUUAUUCAUAAUUCUAGAGGUGAUAAAUGCCUACUUUGGCAUGUGUUAUAGAACUUUGUAUGUUGUUUUUCACUUUAACAGUUUGUAAGGAACAUUUCCCCAUAUAAAUAAAUAUUAUUGCACAAAUUGUACAACAUGAGUUUUUAAA